UGAGAUCAUUAUGAAAGCUUUU
rnacentral:miRNA from 1 species